GCUCCUGCUUCUGAACCAGUUCCAUGAUGUGGUGACUGGAAGCUGCAUCCAGAUGGUGGCAGAGGAAGCCAUGUGCCACUAUGAAGACAUCCGUUCCCAUGGCAAUACACUGCUCAGCGCCGCAGCCGCAGCCCUGUGUGCUGGGGAGCCAGGUCCUGAGGGCCUCCUCAUCGUCAACACGCUGCCCUGGAAGCGGACCGAAGUGAUGGCCCUGCCCAAACCAGGCGGGGCCCACAGCCUAGCCCUGGUGACAGUGCCCAGCAUGGGCUAUGCUCCUGUUCCUCCCCCGACCUCGCUGCAGCCCCUGCUGCCCCAGCAGCCUGUGUUCGUAGUGCAAGAGGUGAGUCCUGCAUGUCCUGGGGGGCAGGAGCUGUGCUGGGAUACUUUCUAACAACUGAGGGUCCUGAGCACCCCUGCCUGGAGCAAGUGGUGAGGCGGGGCUGGGGUUGGGGUGGGAAGACUUUUGGUGUGGGAAGCCCCUACAGACUCAGCCUCAAGGCCUCCUCCCACAAAGACUGACGGCUCCGUGACUCUGGACAAUGGCAUCAUCCGAGUGAAGCUGGACCCAACUGGCCGCCUGACGUCCUUGGUCCUGGUGGCCUCUGGCAGGGAGGCCAUUGCCGAGGGUGCCGUGGGGAACCAGUUUGUGCUAUUUGAUGAUGUCCCCUUGUACUGGGAUGCAUGGGACGUCAUGGACUACCACCUGGAGACACGGAAGCCUGUGCUGGGCCAGGCAGGGACCCUGGCAGUGGGCACCGAGGGCGGCCUGCGGGGCAGCGCCUGGUUCUUGCUACAGAUCAGCCCCAACAGUCGGCUUAGCCAGGAGGUUGUGCUGGACGUUGGCUGCCCCUAUGUCCGCUUCCACACCGAGGUACACUGGCAUGAGGCCCACAAGUUCCUGAAGGUGGAGUUUCCUGCUCGCGUGCGGAGUUCCCAGGCCACCUACGAGAUCCAGUUUGGGCACCUGCAGCGACCUACCCACUACAAUACCUCUUGGGACUGGGCUCGAUUUGAGGUGUGGGCCCAUCGCUGGAUGGAUCUGUCAGAACACGGCUUCGGGCUGGCCCUGCUCAACGACUGCAAGUAUGGCGCGUCAGUGCGAGGCAGCAUCCUCAGCCUCUCGCUCUUGCGGGCGCCUAAAGCCCCGGACGCUACUGCUGACACGGGGCGCCACGAGUUCACCUACGCGCUGAUGCCGCACGAGGGCUCUUUCCAGGAUGCUGGCGUUAUCCAAGCUGCCUACAGCCUAAACUUCCCCCUGUUGGCUCUGCCAGCCCCCAGCCCAGCGCCCGCCACCUCCUGGAGUGCCUUUUCCGUGUCUUCACCCGCGGUCUUAUUGGAGACCGUCAAGCAGGC
rnacentral:sRNA from 1 species